rnacentral:rRNA from 1 species
CGAGAGCCUGAACCAGCCAAGUAGCGUGCAGGAUGACGGCCCUAUGGGUUGUAAACUGCUUUUGUAUGGGAAUAAAGUCAAUCACGUGUGAUUGUUUGCAGGUACCAUACGAAUAAGGACCGGCUAAUUCCGUGCCAGCAGCCGCGGUAAUACGGAAGGUCCGGGCGUUAUCCGGAUUUAUUGGGUUUAAAGGGAGCGUAGGCUGGAGAUUAAGUGUGUUGUGAAAUGUAGACGCUCAACGUCUGACUUGCAGCGCAUACUGGUUUCCUUGAGUACGCACAACGUUGGCGGAAUUCGUCGUGUAGCGGUGAAAUGCUUAGAUAUGACGAAGAACUCCGAUUGCGAAGGCAGCUGACGGGAGCGCAACUGACGCUGAAGCUCGAAGGUGCGGGUAUCGAACAGGAUUAGAUACCCUGGUAGUCCGCACAGUAAACGAUGGAUGCCCGCUGUUGGUACCUGGUAUCAGCGGCUAAGCGAAAGCAUUAAGCAUCCCACCUGGGGAGUACGCCGGCAACGGUGAAACUCAAAGGAAUUGACGGGGGCCCGCACAAGCGGAGGAACAUGUGGUUUAAUUCGAUGAUACGCGAGGAACCUUACCCGGGCUUGAAUUGCAGAGGAAGGAUUUAGAGAUAAUGACGCCCUUCGGGGUCUCUGUGAAGGUGCUGCAUGGGUGGUCGUCAG